rnacentral:rRNA from 1 species
ACAUGCCUAUAACAUAGAGUUAAUGCAUCAUAUCGCAUUAGAACUCUGCAGUUAAGUGUGCUCAGGCUAGAGUAGUACUGGACUGGGUGACUACCUAGGAAGUCCUAGUUUCUUACAUGCU